rnacentral:misc_RNA from 1 species
GAAAUGCGAUACGUAAUGCGAAUUGCAGAAUUCAGUGAAUCAUCAAAUCUUUGAACGCAAAUGGCGCUCCUGGGUUAGCCCUGGGAGCAUGCCUCUUUGAGUAUCGUUUAUAACUCUGCUCAGCCGCGUUCUGAACUGAACCGAGGCUGGAAAAUGAGCCGUCUGCUUGGCAUCUUGUUUUUUUUUUUCAAGGUGCGUAGAGCAGUCGCUUGAAGCGCAACUGAGAGGAGGGAAAAAACACACAUACAAAAACGGACAGAAUCUUUCUGCCUGCUUUUUUUGCCUUCUCACUCAACGUGGUUGAUGUUGCCUCCGUGCAACUCUUUUUCUUCUACGUCUGGGUGAGUUGCUUGCAAGAGAAAAGCAGGUUGGUCUGGCCUCUGUGUGUUUUGUUUUCCCU